GGUCCCACGCACCGAGCUGCAUCUCCCCGUGACACAGCGCGGCCGCCGCGGAGGGGGUGUUCUGUCCCGGGGGCCCUGGCACGGCAGGCGUGGCACCGGGAGGACACGAUCUCCCUGUUCUCAGGCGUCGUGGUGCUGCAGCCCCAUCCCUCUGCCCGGUGGGAAUGCGAGGGGUCCAGGCUGUGCUCGGCUGGGAGAAGGUCUGUGGGAGGCUGCAGGGGCCCAGGGUGUUGGGCACCACGAGUUUGAUGCCAUUUCAUUCAUAAGAAUUUACUUUUCUGCAAGGAUCCAUCUGCCAUGGGUUAUCACUCACCCCGGGGCUGCAGGAUGGGGUACCCAGGCAUUAGGCUUAGCAGAGGUGGGAAGAUGGGUUGAUGAGAAGUCCAGGACUCCUCCCAAGGGUCUAGUGUUUGGGAAUCAGGCCCUGGCAGUUGGCCAAGGUCAGCACUGUUGUCACUGUGUUCGAUCUGGGCCUGGCCUUGACCCCUGGGCAGUGCUCUUGGCUCCAGGUUAAUCAGCAAACAGAGGUCAGGUGUCCUGUGCACGUGGGGAGAGUGAGCUGUGACGGGGAGGGGAGAGCAGAGCACGGGCCAGGGGUGGGACUGUGUUGGCAGGACAUGGGAUGGGUGUCCAGAGGUGUAGUGGUGUGACCUGGAGCCACACCCUGCUCCAGGGGUGGCUGAGACAGGGUGGGGAGCAGGUCCAGCAGCUGGUACAGCCCGUGAGACUGGGUGGGAAAGCACAGGAGUCACUGUGCAGGGAUGUGGUUACAUGUCUGGAGGUCUGGGGGAGUGGAGGUGGCUCUGGCCACUCCGACUGUGCCGCAGUUCCCACUGGCAGACACUGGUCCAGCCAGGGCCAGGAUCUCACCCCCUCUGAGCCAUACAGGGGGGUCAGCAGGGCCUCUGGGGCUCUCAUCCACACCCUGAGAGUAGAGGGGUUGAGUCCCUCUGCAGGAGAAGGAGAUGGGGAUGCUUCUCAGGGAUAUUGUCCCCAACCCUGCUGAGAUAAAGAGAGGAGGGGGUGCUGCACAUACCUGCUGCCAGCACUGCCCAGGGUAAGCCUGGCACGGGUGUUGGAGGGGAGAAACAGGCUUCCACAGGAAGGGACCAAACAGCAACCUCGUUGGCAAGAGAGAUUUAUUGAACAUGGGUCGAACCCAAAGGCAGGGGGACCAGAUUCCAGCAGGAAACACACAGGGCCUUCAGGAGGGGAAGCCACGAACCCCCGAGUGAGGAGAAGCCCCUGCCCCUCACAUCCAGGCAUCUGUUCCUCCUCCCUCCUCCCUCAGCAUUCUCAGGGAGCUCGAGGGACCUGCAGGACUCAAAGUACAUCUCUGUCCUACAGGUGGACUGUUUCUGGGGUGUGUCCCAUCCACACCCCAUGGGGCAUCCCCAGGUGAGAGGAAGGAGGAGAGCACCUCGAGUCCCGCCGAGGAGUCCCAACGAGCCCCAGCUCAUCGAGGAGCCAUCAGGAGGACCCACAACACCCCCAAAAGGUCACAUUUUUCCACCUCCAGGGCCUGAGACAGAGACUCCAACAGAGAAGCACAGCAAGGGCUUGGCUCAAGUCGUUCCUGCUCAUCCCUCUACUCAGAUUCCUGCAUCCAUGGACAACCUCCUGCUUCAAGUGGGCAGCACAGCGCUGGGAAUGCUUUUACCUGGAGAGCUCUAAGCUCCUGUUCCUUCCCAUCUUGGAGGCUCCAGAGGUGGAUAUUCCAUAUGUUGGAUGCACAUUUUGGAGCCAUCUGGGAUAGAUGCAAGAUCUUCAUGAGGAAAAAUCCACGGAGGAAUUCCUGGCUCUUUCCAGUUGCCAUCUCAGAGAAAACCAUGCAGAGAGUCAGACUCUUCAUUCUUCACGGAAUCAUCUUUAUUUAACUAUUAAAAUAAAAUAAUUUUGGGUUCAGGUGAGGGAAAUUUUAGUAUAAGUUAAAAAUCAGGUUCAGCAGGGAAAAAAGUUUCACAUAAUUAUUUUUUCUCAAUAAAGAUUAUUUUGAGCCAGU